AAGCGCUUGCAAUCAGACUUGCAUGCAGUUGAUCAUCCGAUGUUCUCACCGGUGCACUCAUCUGCAUUCAGGCCAGCAUCGGUUUUGGUGGUUGGAUAAAGGCCCUGGGAAUGUAGCUUCUUCCGGGGAGUGUUAUAGCCCAAGGUGCAAUGCAGCCCACCAGGACCGAGGACCGCGCUUCGGCUAGGAUGCUGGCGUAAUGGUUGUAAGCGA
rnacentral:rRNA from 1 species